UCAUUGACAUGCUUUGCAUGGCCGGCUCCCUGCACUUCGGUGCGGCCAACGGUUGUGGGGCUGUCUCUCCACUUGACCCUUUGUUCAGCUGGUUUGCUUGCCGGGUUUUGGCUUUUAUUGGUUGCCUGUGCGUUUCUACCCUUGCGGAUGCGGUAGCUGAUUAGUCACGUCCCGAAUUAAUUUUGCCUGCUAAGCCGAUGCUUAGCCAUCGGCGAGGCGGCCGAGUGCUGGCAAACUCCUCGUGUUCCCAUGGCGUGUGCGCCAUGAAAAUGCAUUGGGUUGUUUGUCAGGUCUCGUGGAUGCCGUGCCUGUUGUAAGCAUUGUGGGCUUUGCGUCCGCAGUUGUGAGGUUGUCCCUGCAUGCGUAAUUGCCCUGUCUCUUCAUUGUGAUGCUUUUUUGGAUCUUGCAUGCUAGUCCGAGUGUUGUGGUUUGAGCGAUUGAUUAACUUCUCGCUUGGGCGCUCCACGGUGAUGUGCUGCCGUUCCAUGAUAGGCAUCGGAAUGUUGUGAUCGGGUGAUGAAAUCGUGCUUUGUGGUGUUGCCCCUCUGACCGAACGGAAUGGUAGCGCUUGUUGGUGUGCGUUGUUGCAAUGGCCUGUCCUUUGAGAGGGUGGGCUAUUGAGAUGACGUCCCGGCUUUCGCUUAAGACGUGC
rnacentral:misc_RNA from 1 species